UUUAUCAUUGUCACCGGCCUUGAACAUCUUUUUUUUUGUUUUUUUAUAGUUAAUAAUUUUUGGUACGGUUUUCCUAAUGCUAUAUAGGACUUCUAUUUUUCUUUAUGAAAGGAGUUGCUGGGAUUUUUCUUUUUUGCUUAACAAUAUACAUUAGAGGAAACAAAGCAUAAAACUUGGAGUUGCCAAUAUUUCAAGAAAAGUAAGACUAAACCUACAAAAUCUGGAGAACAUUGGACUUGAAAACAACAAUUAAAGCCCAGUGAAGAAUAGAAAAGGAGAAAAUCUUCCUCCAAAAUUCUAUUGACAACCAAAAUUCAAAGAAAAUAUGAUAAUCUUUAAAUAAUAUUAUAUCAAGUCCCUGCAUUUGUUCUUUUAAUACUUUUUAAAUAAAAAAACCCCUAAAAGUGCACCACUUAUUGUUCCCACCCAUUAUUAUCAAUCUCCACUUCCUUCACACUAGUGCCUCUCUCUUUGGACAUAAUAUGACUACUCAAAGCUUCACCCUCUACCCCUUUUUCUUGAUUGACAAAGAUUUUUAAACUAUUCCUUUCUUGAAAAAAAAAAAACAUUUGUCACUUGAAGAUGUUGGGAUGCCUGAGGUAGCCUUUGCGUUUGAUGAACCAAAUUUAAAGGCUGUAGUUUUCUCUAAUCAUGGUCAUGGAUAUGAAGUUGACAAUUGUGAUUAAGAUGAAGACAUUUAGGAAGUUUGUGUUAGAAUUUUGUGGACUUGUGUGUGUUGAAAGCCUAAGGUAGUUUUGUAAAUUAUGUUACCAUAAUUAUUCUUUCUUUUUUAUUUAGGCUCAUGUUGCCUUUUAAUCUCCCCUCUCUUGUAUCCCUUGUUUUCAUAAGAAAAUAAUAAGAAAACUCUCCAUCAUGGUUUUUGUUCUUGUACUAGGGUUUCCACGUAUAUCGUGUUUUUUUUCCCUUUUCGUCUCUUUCAGUAUGUUAUUAGAGUAAGGUGAUGAUGAAACCCAAAAAAACUACAACUGAUGGAACCCAAAUAGAGGAGCCACUGAUGGAGGAUCACGCAGCCGGUGAGAUGACAGCCACCUUCAGCACCGCCUUUGAUGAAGGAAUCGCUUGUGAGCUUGCUUCCGAGCCUUAAUUCCCUAUACUUCUUAGCCCAGCAAGAAGAAAGCCUAGGAGAAAGAAAGCCUACCGCAACAAGUUUCAGUUAGACUCCUCUGUCAGCUUCAGACACGUUGACUGGUAUGACUCCCCAACCACACACGCCGCCGAACAGGUCCCUUUCCAAGCUGCACGCGUCGCUGAACGACUCCCUUUCCCAAUCGCAACAAUCCCACGCACCACCUAGCAAUACCUUUACCUUCCAGCCACUGCCGCCUGCUAUACAACCAUAGCCAAUCCUCAUUGCAAACCUUAACGGCUACAACCAACCUUUGCCGCAAACCUUAACCAGCCGCUGAUUGCAAUCCUUUACUAGUCGCUGCUCACCACCUUGCUACAAACCCUAAACCCUAAGUUGUUGCAAACCCUAAUACAUCCCCUACACCAUCUGAGCCAUGAUAUCCUUUAACAGUACCCAAAGAAUACCUAUACCUGAUCGAAAAAUUUAUUCAAUUGUCAUCUCGGUGUUGGUAAUCUCCAUGCCCAGUUGGACUUUGAAAUUGGUGAUUCCUCGGUUCAGUCUAAACCAAAUGUGCAUGAUUUAUAUCAGGGUACCACCCAACAACAAUUGGCCAUGUUUAAACAGCAAAGUGCGACGUUUGAGGCAGCUUUAAGAGCUUCUACUCUACCCACACACCUAGUCUUGGCAUUCUGAUCACCUUAUCGAUGUAUUUAGAGAAUUCGGUACCUUCGCUCUCUAAUUUGUCUUCUAUUUACGUGUUUGGUUUUGUGGCAUAAACUACAAGGAUCUUUACAGGGGAGAAGCUGAAUGACUGUAACUAUUUCUCGUGGUCAUAAUCUGUUAAAAUGAUCCUUGAAGGACACCACAAAUUUGGCUUUCUGAUAGGAGAGUUAUAUCGUCCUCCAUCAGUGAUCUCCAGGAACGAUUCUGGAAAGAGGAGGAUUCUCUCAUUUGGGCCAGUUAAUCAACUGUAUGGAGCCAUAGAUUGGCAACCCUUAUUGUAUGCUGCGAUUGCUAAGGAUAUAUGGGAUACAACUCAGAAACUUUAUUUGAAGCCGAAUGCCUCUCAUCUCUACAAACCGAGAAAACAAAUCCAUGAAUGCAAGAAGAGGACUAUGGAUGUGACAUCCUAUUUUAACAAACUUUCCCUCAUUUGGCAGGAAAUGGAUCUUUGCAGUGAAAUUGUCUGGAACUGUUUCAGUGAUAGCCAUAUAACACUCUAGACUUGAAGAGGUUGAUAAAAUAUGACUUCCUUGCACUCAACUCGAAGUUUGAUGUAGUUCGUGGUCGUAUACUGGGCCAGAGUCCUAUUUUCUCCUUAAUGGAGGUUUGUUCUGAAGUUCGCCUUGAGGAGACCGUACGAGUAUGAACAUUCUGACCGUUCCUGACUGAUGCUGCUGUCUUCAGUGUGACGUCCUCUACUCAUGAUAGUGAGAAUCACAACAGAAAAUCGGUCCCUAUCUUUGAGUAUUGCAAGAAAUAGUGGCACACUAAAGAACGGUGUUGGAAAUUACAUGGUCGUCCCCCAGGCGGUAAGACACGCCCUUCGAACUACAAACAAAAUUUAGGACGAGCUUAUGUGAGUGAGUCUUCUGGAACCUCUCAAAUCUGGUCUCAUUGGAAACUGGAAUGAUCCUAGUCUGUCCACACUAGGAGCUAUUGUUAAGUUGGGUAUGCCUCAGUCCCUUAGUCUUAUCAGUGUUGAUGGGAAGAAUCCUUGGAUUCUGGAUUCGGGUGAUACAAAUCAUUUAAUUAGUUCUUCUGAAAGUUUUGUUUCCUCUAUUCCUUGUGUAGUAAUGAGAAAAUCAGAAUUGCAGAUGGUUCCUUGGCCCCCAUUGUUGGAAAGAGGCAAAAUUUUCCCUUUGAAGGGCUACCCUUACGAAAUGUGUUGCAUGUUCUCAAAAUUUCUUAUAAUUUGUUAUCUAUAAGCAUGAUUAUCCACAAACUGAACUGUAAACCAACUUCCUUCCUUGAUUUUGUUUCUUUUCAGGGCUUAAGCUUGGGGUGGGGUGGGGUGGGGUGGAUGAUUGGCAUUGCCUGACAUAGUAGGGGUCUCUAACUUCUUGACGAUGACGCUUCCUCUAACAGUACUUCGAGGACUAGUUUUUUAUCAACGCACUUUACUACUUUUGAAAAAGAUUGUAUGUUGUGGUAUUUCCAGCUGGGUCACCCAAAAUUUCAAUAUAUGAAAUAUUUACUUCCCCAUCUUUUCUUUAAA